CGCGUAGGCGGUCUUGUCGGUCAGAUGUGAAAGCCCAGGGCUCAACCCUGGACGUGCAUUUGAAACAGCAAGACUUGAGUACGGGAAAGGAAAGCGGAAUUCCUGGUGUAGAGGUGAAAUUCGUAGAUAUCAGGAGGAACACCGAUGGCGAAGGCAGCUUUCUGGACCGAUACUGACGCUGAGGCGCGAAGGCGUGGGUAGCGAACAGGAUUAGAUACCCUGGUAGUCC
rnacentral:rRNA from 1 species